rnacentral:snoRNA from 3 species
CUGUCCGAUGAUGAUGAAACCAAAUACUUUCGUUCUUCUGAUGAGAUGGCACGGUGCGGAAGCAGUUUUCAGACCUGAACUGAGGAAAU